AGAAUCAACGCUGGCGGCGUGCCUAGCACAUGCAAGUCGAACGAGAAAGUGGUAGCAAUACCAUGAGUAAAGUGGCGCACGGGUGAGUAACACGUGACUAACCUACCCUGGAGUGGGGGAUAACUGAGGGAAACCUUAGCUAAUACCGCAUAAUACCUACGGGUCAAAGGAGCAAUUCGCUUCAGGAGGGGGUCGCGGCAGAUUAGCUAGUUGGCGGGGUAAUGGCCCACCAAGGCAGUGAUCUGUAUCCGGCCUGAGAGGGCGCACGGACACACUGGAACUGAAACACGGUCCAGACUCCUACGGGAGGCAGCAGUGGGGAAUUUUGCGCAAUGGGGGAAACCCUGACGCAGCAACGCCGCGUGGAGGAUGAAGUCCCUCGGGACGUAAACUCCUUUCGAUCGGGACGAUAAUGACGGUACCGAGAGAAGAAGCCCGGCUAACUCGUGCCAGCAGCCGC
rnacentral:rRNA from 1 species